rnacentral:lncRNA from 1 species
AUGGUAUUAACCAGUAACUCUAUCCUACAGGAAAAUGGAAAUAUCAUUCACCAGAAAGAACUGAAGUUCUCAGACCCAGCGGAUGACAGAAGGACAACACCAGAGGGUGGCUGGAUUGCUGCUGCCUCUUCAGUCAAUGUGCCUAAACUUAGGAAAGAAAAAGGGAAAAGCCACACCCACGAUGCAAACCUUCACUUGGGGAGAGCUAAGCAACCCAGAAUGGAUCACAUGGCCAGUCCUUGCUGCAGGACAAACAGGGAAAACAGCGAUUUGGUUUCAUUAUUUUAAUUUCACUCUUUUCGUUCUAGUAAUGGGGCAGGUGAACAUGUAGAAGAGGAUUCAGAGUAGCUUUAAAGAUGCCCACACACAUCCAUAUUUAAAUUUGUAGGUAUUACAAGAGAAAUUUCAGAAGUACAGAAGACGAUCUUAGAGUAUAUAUUUAAGUCAUAGAUUAAUAAAUGUAAUUUGGGAAAUUUAUUCA